rnacentral:rRNA from 1 species
GGGGAAGGGUAGCUUGCUAUGUGACCUAGCGGGGGACGGGUGAGUAAUGCUUAGGAAUCUGCCUAUUAGUGGGGGACAACAUUCCGAAAGGAAUGCUAAUACCGCAUACGCCCUACGGGGGAAAGCAGGGGAUCUUCGGACCUUGCGCUAAUAGAUGAGCCUAAGUUCAGAUUAGCUAGUUGGGGGGGUAAAGGCCUACCAAGGCGACGAUCUGUAGCGGGUCUGAGAGGAUGAUCCGCCACACUGGGACUGAGACACGGCCCAGACUCCUACGGGAGGCAGCAGUGGGGAAUAUUGGACAAUGGGCGAAAGCCUGAUCCAGCCAUGCCGCGUGUGUGAAGAAGGCCUUUUGGUUGUAAAGCACUUUAAGCGAGGAGGAGGCUACUGAGAUUAAUACUCUUGGAUAGUGGACGUUACUCGCAGAAUAAGCACCGGCUAACUCUGUGCCAGCAGCCGCGGUAAUACAGAGGGUGCGAGCGUUAAUCGGAUUUACUGGGCGU